CCACAAAAAAAGGUGUUUUUGAGGCCCCAGAGCUGUCUCGGCCCUGGAGGGACCCCUGAGGGCACCCCCGGGCUGGGAGAGGCUGGGGCAGGAGCCGUGCUGGGGAGGGGGGGCGCCCGAGGGGAGAACAACAAUUAGGCAAAGAUAUCGAAGGAUUGAAGGCUGUUAUCCCCUUAUGUAACCCUGGAUACUCCGCAAAACUAAUCGAGGCCUUUCUAAUACGGAUUAUUCAUCACAAGUUUCAAGCUCAUUAAACAACAACAACAAAAAAAUUAAAAAAUCAAAAAAAAGGGGGAAAAAACCCAAAAACCCCAAACCAAUCCAAACCCCGCAACUCGGGUGCGAAGCGUGCAAAAUGGUGGAUUAUUUUGUAGCUGUUUAUUCGGAUUUGCAAAUGGCUGCAGUGGCUGCUGCUGGCACCCGGAGACAGGACGAUUGUGAAAAUUCCCCCAAGGGCCUCGAUUGCUGCAUCUGCUGAGAUGACGCAACUCAAGAGUGGAGCCUGCGGGUGAAGGAUGGUGCAGAGGGAGGGGCCAGCGCUGCUCUGCCACGGGAGAAGUGAAAACAGCCUUGAAAAGGAUGGGGAGAAACUUAAACAUAUUCCCCACAUCAUCAAAAAUACAGUUUGUUCCUCCUCCAGUGCUGAGCGUUGUGGCAUCGCUCUGAGGAAUUCGGUGGGAAGAGGUUUGGCGGUGUUUUUGCGGAGAUUCAGGUGUGGCUUCAGCUCAUGCUGAAAAUACUGGAGGUGGAGAUGAUUCCCUGGAAUUGCCUGGCCUGGAGCUGGGAAGGUCUGGUAGUGAAUAUCCCAGGGAAAAGUGAUCCCUGCCCUGCUGGGCUGGGGGUUUGUGCUGCCUGAGAACAAGGAGGGCAAAAAUCAGCACAUUGCUGCAGAAAGGUUCAUCUGUGAGGU